CCUACGGGUGGCAGCAGUGAGGAAUAUUGGUCAAUGGGCGCGAGCCUGAACCAGCCAAGUAGCGUGAAGGAUGACUGCCCUCCGGGUUGUAACCUUCUUUUAUAAAGGAAUAAAGUGAGGCACGUGUGCCUUUUUGUAUGUACUUUAUGAAUAAGGAUAGGCUAACUCCGUGCCAGCAGCCGCGGUAAUACGGAGGAUCCGAGCGUUAUCCGGAUUUUUUGGGUUUAAAGGGAGCGUAGAUGGGUUGUUAAGUCAGAUGUGAAAGUUUGCGGCUCAACCGUAAAAUUGCAAUUGAUACUGGCAGCCUUGAGUACAGUAGAGGUAAGCGGAAUUCGUGGUGUAGCGGUGAAAGGCGUAGAUAUCACGAAGAACUCCGAUUGCGAAGGCAGCCUACUAAACUGCCACUGACAUUGAUGCUCGAAAGUGUGGGUAGCAAACAGGAUUAGAUACCCCUGUAGUC
rnacentral:rRNA from 1 species